rnacentral:rRNA from 1 species
AGCUCACUGGUCUAAAUAAGGGUCUCCGCGCCGAAAAUGUACCGGGGCUCAAGCCAUACACCGAAACUGCGGGUGUGCACUUUAAGUGCAUGCGGUAGCGGAGCGUUCUGUAAGUCUGUGAAGGUGGCCUGCGAGGGCUGCUGGAGAUAUCAGAAGUGAGAAUGCUGACAUGAGUAGCGAUAAAGAGGGUGAGAGGCCCUCUCGCCGAAAGUCCAAGGGUUCCUGCGCAAUGCUAAUCAGCGCAGGGUUAGUCGGCCCCUAACGCGAGGCAGAAAUGCGUAGUGGAUGGGAAGCAGGUUAAUAUUCCUGCACCGGCGGGUAGUGACGGAUUCUGGAAGUUGU